GCCCAGGUGCCAGAGUGGUCUAAUGGGACGGAUUGCAAAUCCGUUAUUCGUCGGUUCGAAUCCGACCCUGGGCU
rnacentral:tRNA from 1 species